rnacentral:rRNA from 1 species
CCUACGGGAGGCAGCAGUGAGGAAUAUUGGUCAAUGGACGGAAGUCUGAACCAGCCAUGCCGCGUGGAGGAAGAAGGUCCUAUGGGUUGUAAACUCCUUUUGUUCCGGAGUAAUAAGUGCCUUGCGAGGCACGAUGAGAGUACGGGACGAAUAAGCAUCGGCUAACUCCGUGCCAGCAGCCGCGGUAAU